AAAAAAACCUGGGCGGCCUAUACAUGCAAGUCGAGCGAAUGGAUUAAGAGCUUGCUCUUAUGAAGUUAGCGGCGGACGGGUGAGUAACACGUGGGUAACCUGCCCAUAAGACUGGAUAUAACUCCGGAGAAACCGGGGCUAAUACCGGAUAACAUUUUGAACCGCAUGGUUCGAAAUUGAAAGGCGGCUUCGGCUGUCACUUAUGGAUGGACCCGCGUCGCAUUAUCUAGUUGGUGAGGUAACGGCUCACCAAGGCAACGAUGCGUACCCGACCUGAGAGGGUGAUCGGCCACACUGACACUGACACACGGCCCACACUCCUACGGGAGGCAGCAGUAGGGAAUCUUCCGCAAUGCACGAAAGUCUGACGGAGCAACGCCGCGUGAGUGAUGAAGGCUUUCGGGUCGUAAAACUCUGUUGUUAGGGAAGAACAAGUGCUACUUGAAUAAGCUGGCACCUUGACGGUACCUAACCAGAAAGCCACGGCUAACUACGUGCCAGCAGCCGCGGUAAUACGUAGGUGGCAAGCGUUAUCCGGAAUUAUUGGGCGUAAAGCGCGCGCAGGUGGUUUCUUAAGUCUGAUGUGAAACCCCACGGCUCAACCGUGGAGGGUCAUUGGAAACUGGGAGACUUGAGUGCAGAAGAGGAAAGUGGAAUUCCAUGUGUAGCGGUGAAAUGCGUAGAGAUAUGGAGGAACACCAGUGGCGAAGGCGACUUUCUGGUCUGUAACUGACACUGAAGCGCGAAAGCGUGGAGAGCAAACAAGAUUAUAUACCCUGGUACUCCACGCCGUAAACGAUGAGUGCUAAGUGUUAGAGGGUUUCCCCCCUUUAGUGCUGAAGUUAACGCAUUAACCACUCCCCCUGGGGAAUACGGCCGCAAGGCUGAAACUCAAAGGAAUUGACGGGGGCCCCCA
rnacentral:rRNA from 1 species